ACGCUGGCGGCGUGCCUAAUACAUGCAAGUCGAACGAGAGCGACCGGUGCUUGCACUGGUCAAUCUAGUGGCGAACGGGUGAGUAACACGUGGGUAACCUGCCCAUCAGAGGGGGAUAACAUUCGGAAACGGAUGCUAAAACCGCAUAGGUCUUCGAACCGCAUGGUUUGAAGAGGAAAAGAGGCGCAAGCUUCUGCUGAUGGAUGGACCCGCGGUGCAUUAGCUAGUUGGUGAGGUAACGGCUCACCAAGGCCGUGAUGCAUAGCCGACCUGAGAGGGUGAUCGGCCACAUUGGGACUGAGACACGGCCCAAACUCCUACGGGAGGCAGCAGUAGGGAAUCUUCCGCAAUGGACGCAAGUCUGACGGAGCAACGCCGCGUGAGUGAAGAAGGUUUUCGGAUCGUAAAACUCUGUUGUUAGAGAAGAACAAGUGCUAGAGUAACUGUUAGCGCCUUGACGGUAUCUAACCAGAAAGCCACGGUUAACUACGUGCCAGCAGCCGCGGUAAUACGUAGGUGGCAAGUGUUGUCCGGAUUUAUUGGGCGUAAAGCGAGCGCAGGCGGUUCCUUAAGUCUGAUGUGAAAGCCCCCGGCUCAACCGGGGAGGGUCAUUGGAAACUGGGGAACUUGAGUGCAGAAGAGGAGAGUGGAAUUCCAUGUGUAGCGGUGAAAUGCGUAGAUGUAUGGAGGAACACCAGUGGCGAAGGCGACUCUCUGGUCUGUGACUGACGCUGAGGCUCGAAAGCGUGGGUAGCAAACAGGAUUAGAUACCCUGGUAGUCCACGCCGUAAACGAUGAGUGCUAAGUGUUGGAGGGUUUCCGCCCUUCAGUGCUGCAGUUAACGCAUUAAGCACUCCGCCUGGGGAGUACGACCGCAAGGUUGAAACUCAAAGGAAUUGACGGGGACCCG
rnacentral:rRNA from 1 species